CAGUGCGAGUUACAUUGCCAGGCUUUGUGUGUUCUCCUUGCAGAAGAAGGGGGAAAUCAACGCAGCGAGGGCUCCGAGAAGGAACGGAUGGAGAGGUGAGCGCUGCAAUGGAGUGACGGCUACUUCCUGUUCCUGCUGGAGUGACCCGCAGGUCUGAGGAGGAGCGAGAGACAGAGCGAGGGAGAGGGAGAGAGAGAGAGCGUGAGAGAGAGAGAGAGCGGUGGCUGAGGCCAGCCAGUCACUGGAACAACAGGCUGAUGGACGGUUAAGCGGUUGGAAGGGUUCCAGUGGAGCUCAGACAGGCUGACUUAAUCCUGUUGGAUUCCAUUUCCUGCAACCAGAGAGUCCAAAGGAAUCAAUCAGAUCUUUGCAGUUGAAGAGACUGAGGGGAAAGAAAGAAGAAAAAAAACAUAAAGCAAAAACAUAAAAAGAUACAAAUAGACGCCGAGCUGGCAAACUGUGAAUAUGGCACCCACAUAUCCUUACACGCUCAUUCUCGCUCUUUCCUGCUUUUCCCUCUCCAUCUUCCUGAUGAUGCCAAGAAGUGAGAGAAGCCACUGGAUGACACAUGCCAGAAGAGGUUAAAUGAUCUGCCACUGGAACCGUGCAUUAAUUACAGCAUCCAGGUGCCACGUUACACUUCUGCCUGCACCUCCGAAGAAUUGGCCAAGGAUUUUUUUUUUGCAUCACAUCCUAUCGCACCCUUCAAAAAUGGGCUUGAUUUUUCUUUCUUUAGAAACUAAAUAGCAAUUCUUUUGUAAUGUCUGUAGGCUGGGUCAUCUAUCAUGGUUAGCUAUUCAUAUCUGAAAUAAAGGAUGUGUCUGCUUCA